CCCACGCUUCUGCCUCCUCUUCCUGGCCGCCCACCACAUCAACUGCACCACCACUCCCCACCAACUCCGCCAUCGCUCGCCAUCGUCUACACCAGUGUCGAGGACCUACGCCGGUGUUCAAAAAUCGAAUCCAGAUGACCUUCUUCUAAGAGCACCUGCGUGCUAGGGUUUUGAGUCGCCGCCCCGCCUAGCUCCGGACGAAGUCUUCUCCGAGACAUCUACUUCCCCUCCGCACCUCCUUGCUCCAUGUCCAGAUUCGAGAGCCGCCCCGAGCUUUCUCACGUCAUCCUAUGUACUAUUGUUCAGUGUCAAUUCUUUUAGAUUGAACAACGUGGUUUCUCACAAUUUAUUGGCUGCAGAUUUGUAUCCUUUCCUUUUUCUGGGAUGGUGCGACACAGAUCUGUACGAGCCACCUCCUCUUGCUGUUGUAACUUCCAUGAUUUUCUGAUGCCAAUGGGAUUUUUUCAUCACUCAGCAGGGAACCAGAAAAUACGGGAAUUAGAGCAAUUCGAUCGGUUAGUCUUCUCUGGUCUGGCUUCUUUUUAAGGCUUUCAGUUUCAUUUAAAUUUGUUAAAAUUUCCAGUUUUAUGCUCUGAUUAAAAUUUGAUUACACAUAAUAGCUGGAUUAAAAAAAUCUUACAGAACCAGAAAAUACGGGAAUUAGAGCAAUUAGAUUGGUUAGUCUUCUCUGAUCUGCUUUUUUUUUUAGGUUUUCAGUUUCAUUUUAAUUUGUUAAAAUUGCCAGUUUUAUGCUCUGAUUAAAAUUUGAGUACACAUAAUAGCUGGAUUAAAAAAAUAUCUUACAUGCUUUGAUAUCUUUUGAUAUUAUCUAAUAUAUAAUAGGCUUUGUCUAGCAUCACCAAUACCUUUUUUUGUAGUAUCAAGGGAUUCAGCAGGUAUGGUUCCUCCAAGUUGUUUUCCCUGAAUUUAGUUCAUUGAUUACGCAAUCGGCAUGGCCUCAACAUUAGUCCGUUCAUCAAGUAGCACAAUCUGAUCGUCAAGUGUGAGAGAUGGGAAGAGUAAUAAAAUGCAUUGACUCUUCAUGCUGCUACAGCAGGUUAGUUAUUUGUUAAGACAACUCCGGAGAAGAUUUAUAUUUUUUUAUACACUUGGUGAUCGUCAAAGGCUGUUAUGCUGCCUGUAUGUUAGGAAGUGCCAGUUCUACACGAAAUAAAGUUUCACCGAUUACACGUAGCAGUUUCUGAUCAAUUAUUUUGUCGCAUUAACAAGUUUGCAGAAACAUAAAGGUACAGCUCUGAAUUUUUGUCCUCACAUCAAAGUUCCUAAGUUAUAAAUAGUUCACUACUUUUUCUUCUGCGUGAAGGUUCUUUGGUAAUCAAAAGCACAAACCAAGUUUGAUUCAUUGAUGGACAUUGAGACUAGAUAUAUUUUGUCUAUGUUACUCUUAGAGGGCAUGUUAAAUGUUGCUUAAAUAUUUUUCUCUCUCAAAGUACAACAUAUAAUGCUUUAUAUCUAGGAUUAAGAUUUAUCAACUUGCAAGCGUCUUCUCUUAGAGAGCGGUUAUCAAUAGAGCUCACAUCAAUAUG